rnacentral:lncRNA from 1 species
GAUUCUUCCCAACUCUUCCAGGUAUAUUUUCUUUUAGAUUUUAGACUUCGCUACAAAAAUUCUUUCAAUUUUUACAGGCUUGAAUUUACGACUCGAUUUCCGGUCAGGUCUUCAUAAUUCUGUCUAAUUCUCUUCCCAAGCUGAAAUUCAUGGGUGAUGUGAAGGUUUAUACUAGAAAAUAACUGAUUAAUGUCUAAAGAUUAUCGAACAUUAUAGUCUGGGUUCAGUUACUCUGUACUAUUGCUCUUCCUUCUCUUUGUGUCACUCCUCUGUAUUUAUGAUAUCGAAAUUCUCUCUGGUUGGUUUAUAGUGAUUUGACCUUUCAGCAUAGAUUGAAAUCAAUUGAGGGCUCCUCUUCUGCUCGCUCUGUGGAGCUAAAACCUAACAACAAUGAACAAAAAAAAGGGAGGAUAGAGUGUACCCGAUCUUACCUCUAAAUUGUUAGAUAGGGAAAUUGUUUCCAAUAAACCCUUGACUUAAUGAAAGCAAAAUCACAACAUUAAUCUCACGUCAAAAAAAAAAAAACUUAUGUGAACUCACAAAUUUGUUUUUGAUAUUCUCCUUUACGAUAAGAAAAUUAUUGUGGCUAGUUCUCUUCAUUACUUUUUGCUAUUAAUUGCUUAAAACAAGAAUGUUAAAGAUGAAAUUUACAUUCAUUUACAUUAAUUAAGUAACAAUAUUGAUGAACAAAUUUUCCAUUUUUGUAUCAUUUGACAUUGGCAGAUAGUGAUGAAUUGUUGGUAGCAUAACAUUCCAACUCAACAUUUUGUCAGACCUUUCUUUAAGAGAACAUGAAAGUCAAAUAUAUUCUUAAAAACAAGCUAAAAGAAAGACAUAUUUGUUCGAUUUUUUAUUUUUUUUUUGUGUUUAAGCAGUGGACUGUUAUGUUGGAUGAGUAACACGGGCAGAUAUUAUAUUCCGACAUAUAAUCUUUGAAGAAAUUGGCUUAAAGACUUACAAGUCAUCGUCCGCUAGUUACAUUACUGUAUCCCUUUUUUCCUUAGGUGGAAUGAAAUAUUGAUGGAUAUUCGCUCAUUAUCUUAAUGUGAUCGUAAACUAUUGUGUACCUAACAAGUUUGAAAAUAGCAGAAGAGACAACUAAUCACUAACUCGGAAUAUUAACCUUUCAUGAUUAUAUAAAUUCCAUGGAAAAAAUGCAUCAAAAUUUAAUGUAUUUAUACAACUUGGUUUCCUCUAUUCCGAAUGUACACUAAUUGUCCUCACAAUUGGUUCAAUGACGUGUCUUGACCUUUUAUGAUUAUAUAAAUUCCGUGGAAAAAUUGCACUAAAAUCCUCAAUUGACUUGAUCAUAUAAUAGUUUCUCUCAUUGAAAAGUAUUGUGAAAACAGAAGAAGAGACAACUAAUCACUAACUCGGAAUAUUAACCUUUCAUGAUUAUAUAAAUUCCAUGGAAAAAUUGCAUCAAAAUUUAAUGUAUUUAUACAACUUGGUUUCCUCUAUUCCGAAUGUAUACCAAUUGUCCUCACAAUUGGUUCAAUGACGUGUCUUGACCUUUUAUGAUUAUAUAAAUUCCGUGGAAAAAUUGCAUUGAUCAUAUAAUAGUUUCUCUCAUUGAAAAGUAUUGUGAAAACAGAAGAAGAGAUGUUGAUGGAAAGUUGGACUAAUCAUCAUAUAUCUAUCUAUCCAUCUAUAUUAUCUUUAAAACAAUAUUAAAUUAUUAUAAUAUUUUCAACUUAAAACACUCAAUUUAGUAUAUUUUCUAUAUACUAUAAUAUAUUAUAUUUAUUUAAUUUAAAAUAUAGUGUACUACAUGAUUUGGCAUUCACGUGCAAUGCAUCAAAAUUAGUACUAUCUUAUAAAUAUGAACUAUCUAACUUAAAUGUUAAAUUACUAUAAUACCCCAACUAAAAAUAUUCAAUUUAGUAUAUUUUCUAUAUUUUAUAUUUAUAUUUAUAUUUAUUUAUUUGUUUAUUUAUAUUAUAUUAAAAAUAAAUUUUGUUGUGACUUUCCUGAUGAGUUGUGACUUUUUCGAAGAAUUGUGACUCUUCUAAAGAUCAGUUUCUCUAUUAUGAUCAGAAUUUCUGUUGUGGAUAUUGAUAUUUCUUUUUUAAAAUCAAGAAAAAAGUGUAGACUCACACAUUCUACGUGAUAUAAUACAUAUAUAUAGGACGUUACAUAGGACACAAAAUUGUCAUGUAGGAUGAAUGUGUGUAUUAGAUCAAAUUUAUAUAAAUUUAGUGUUUACUUGUGCAUACUCAAAGUUAAAGAACAUAUAUGUCAACUGAGGUCAAGUUAAAUGUCAUAUUUAUUUAUUAUAACUUUAGAAAGUCAUAAACCAUUUUAUUGUGAUCACUAGUAAUUGAUGAAUCACACAAACAUAUGAUGAUGCUUCAUCUACAAAUAUAUAGACUCACACAUCCUAUAUAACAUAAUACACAUGUAUAGAACGUUACAUAAACACAAGGUAGAAAAACUGAAAAAUGUGUACUACUCCACUAGAACUGUAUCAUAUUUGUCCUUUUUCCCACCUGUAGUCUUUGUGGAAAUAAUUGGCUUACAGACUUUGGCUUAAAAGAACAAAAUAAAAUUCCACACGAUAUUAUAACUAUAAAUGUUAGUAACACGUUUUUCUAUUUUCGGAUAGGAAUUAUAUUUAUAAAUGUAUGUCACUAAAUUAUUAAUAAAAUAAUGUUCUUUAAUAACAUUGUAGUAUUUUUUUUUCUCAAAGUAUUUCUCUCUUAUUUUCUUAAUUUCUUUAUUAAAGAACCAACAUGAACCAAUUUCACAUCAUCUUACGUAACACACACUGCAGAGAUAAUUAAUGACCUCGAAAUGAACACAGCAUCAAGAGAAAAUUAGGACAUAGAAAGUAUCAUUUUGUUAAGUCUUCUCCGUCCUCUAAGAAGUCAUGUGGAACACUGCUAUAAAUGACACGUUUCCAACUUGUUAGUUUGUUUUUCAUGUUCUCUGACGAAUAAAGCUCGAAUAUCACUUGAUGAGCUUCGCUAUCAUUGUUCAUCUUUGUUCUUCGCAAUCCAAUUUCAGUGGAUUUUGGUGUUUAAAGUUAUGGUAAAGUUGCUUUAGGAAUUUGAAGGAAAUGGAAGAAGAGGUUACUUUAGGAUUUGAAGAAAUUGGGAGAGUAUAGGAGAAAGGGGAAAGGAAUUAUAAAAAAGAUUGAAAAAAAUAUUAAAUUAAUCAAAUUUCCAUGUGUCAAGCGCGUGAAAUUCAUAGAUCAACAUAGAUGUGGUUGUGGCCUUUUAAGGGUGUAAUUAUUUCAGUUUUAAAUAGUUCAGGGGGGUGAUAGAACUCCCGUAAAGUUAAAGUGUGUAGUUGGAAAUCCGGAUAUAGAUUAGGGAGGCUUUUGACUAUUUUCUCAAAUAUAAAUGAAAUAAGAAAUAAAAUAUAAUAAUGAAGAGAGAGAAAAAUAUUUUUUUUUGGUGUAAAAUUUGGUGCAGUGGGUUGAAGUUGAUUUACACUAAAAUAGUGCUGACACCAAAUUUGGUGUAAAAUUUGAUGUUUGGGUUGAAGAUGUCCUUAGUCGGAUUUUUUUUUAUUUGACUCAAUUUGCAAUUUGAUUUGAUUUUCAAUUCAAUUUUGUACCUACUUUUUUCUUUUGACAAUUUUUUUGUUUACUUAUAGUUUUUAUGUUGCAAUUUUUGGGAUUCGACUAAAAUAUCUAGUACUUUUAAUUUUAAAAAGAAUAUCAUUGUUUCAAUUAAAUUCUUCUGACAAUUGUUAUUUUUAGAUGAUGUUUCAGUUUACUUUGUGUAAUCUUGAAUAUAUAAAUUAUUGGAAUUUUUUUUUCUACGCUUUGAUAACAUAUGAGUUGAACAUUAUAUUUUAAUUAAUUAAUAGACAAGAAAAAGGAGGAGAGGAACAUGUUUGUCUAAAGUUUACCUACACUAACUCAUGUUAAAAUAUAUAUUUUUAAAUGUCUAUAGGUGAAACAAGUACAUCCAAAUAGGGUAUUAUCCCACAAUUUUUACAAGAAAAUGAAAAUCAAGUCCUUACAACUCACAAAUUUAGAAUAUUUUUUUUUGUUUUCUCAUUUUAUUUUAUUUUUAAAAUUUGUGAAUUUAAACCUAAAUGACAUUUGUAUAGCUAUACCAUUUCUUAAAAGUUAAAAGUUAUAUUAUUUUCCAAUUAUUACUCUUUAUUAGAAGUGGCACUUGAGGGUGUACGAACACUGCUAUAUGCAGUUGUACAAAAUGCACCAAUAGUUGUAUUUUUUUUAAGGAUAAUUUCGUAAUUUUAUCUUAUCACUCUAUAUUACUUUAUGUCAACACCAAUAGUUUGGGCUUUGUGGGCUUAUUUGAUUGGCUAUUAGACACGUAAGUACUUCUCUUUGAUGUUAGAUUUUUGAGCGACUUUCACAUAUAGCAAACACAAAAUUUAUAUUUGUAUGUUAUAGCAAAAUUUGCAUUGUUGUGCUCCAUAGCAAACAUAUAUAUGUAUAAUUCGCUAUACAUAUACAAAAAAAAAUAUACAUAUACAAAGAAAGCAGUUGUAUAAAUUCGCUAUACAUAUACAAAAGAAAGCAGUUGUAUACAAAAGAUCAAUUGUAUAAUUUGUGUAUGUAUAAAACGAGAAAGAGAGAAAGGCAAAAGAAAACUGGACAGGGAAAGAUUUGUAUUGUAUAAUUAUAAGUGUAUAGGACGAAGAUAUAUGUAUUUGCAUGUGUAUAUACAAUUUUCUCUCGCUUUAUACAAACAGAAGCGCAAUUUAUACAUUUCGUUUCUGUUUGUAUAAACGAGAGAGGCGAGGGUGGCGAGCGAGAUUUGGGAGAGUGGCGAGCGAGAUCUGGGAGAGGGGAGAGAGGAACGAAAAUAUAUGUAUAUAUACAAUUUCCUCUCUCUUUAUACAAACACAAACGCAUUUUAUACAUUUGUGUUUGUAUAAAAGCGAGAGAGGCGAGCGAGACAGCCACCAAACGAGAGUGGCGAGCGAGAUUCCAACAGGGAGAGUGGUGAAAAUAGCAAUAGUUUGCUAUAGGGUACAAUUAAAUCAAAGUAUAUUUAUAGCAUUUAAUUUGAAUUAAUAGUUUGAUAUUAUAUAUAAUUUUCCCUAGAUUUUUCUCCGCACAAACAUAGGUCUAUUGAGGGCAUCUUCAACCCUACACUCUAUUUUACUCUCCAAAUAUAGAGUUCUCUAUUUUUCCAGCCAACCAACUCCAACUAAAUUCUUUAUUUUACUCUCUAAAAAAGAAUCUUUUUUUCUCUCCUUGAUAUUAUAUUAUUAUUUCUAUUUCUAUUUCUAUUUCAUUUUCUUAUUUCACAAUAUAAAUCCCUUCUCUUUUUUUUUUCAAAAUAAUCACCCUAUAUAAUUUUCAUGUAAUAUAAAAUUAUUAUUUUUUAAAAUUCUUUAUUUAAUAUAAAAAUUAUAUUUUAUUGUAAAUUUUAAAGAACAACUACGAAAAACUGAAAAUAGAAAUCAACAAGCACAACCGCAAUCACAAACACAACAAUUUUCUAGAUCAUACAUUUUUUUUUCCAAAUAUUGUUAAAUCUAAAAACGACCUGCCGGAUUACUAAAUUAUUGUUGUGAUUUUAAAAAACAUUAUGUUAUGUAUUGUAUUGCUAUCUUGUAUUUAAAUUAUUAUGUCAUAUAUGGUAUUUUUAAAUUAAAUUUUCAUUUUAUCAUUUAAAUUUUGUGCAUUCUUCGUAGUGAAAAUCAAUAAUAAUAUCAAAUUAUCUCUUAGAGAGCUUAGUACCAAGAGUUUGCCGCUUUAAAAAAUGUUGGAAGUUUAAUGAAAUUGAAGUAUGGGCUUCCCUCCGCUUAUUGUUAUCUUUUGCUUUUUAUCUAUAAUGUUUUGUUCCCGUGUGGAGAAGGGGUUACCAGUUAAAUGUUUUUUAGAAUUUUAUUGAUCUUUUUGUAAUGGUAUUUCAUUUACUUGCAUGUGUAAUUCUACAGUAGCAUUACUACUAUUUAUCUAACUUUUUUGUCCUUCUGUUUCAGAGAAAAAAGUGGCAUUCAGCACUCUCUGCAUUAAGAAACAUUCGGUGGAAACCAUUUUUGAUCGGUGGAGAUAAAAUUUUGACACUCAAGUCAAGGUACAUGACUACAUAAUGACGCUAAUAACUAUAUUAGUACUAUUGUUUUCUGAAAAUAAUCUGAAGAUCUUUGAACUUUUUUAUGUUUUCGCACAAGAUUGAAUCAAAUAGCAAGGGAUCAUGAAAUUACUUGAUCUCUCGAACUCUUUAGUGUUUGUGAAUAGUAAGAAGAAUGGAGUAAAUGUUGCUAGCAAUGCUCUUGUGGAAGUUCCCAGCUGCACCCAGGAAGCUAUGAUGUACACUACAACUUGCAUUAGCUAUGCGUCCUAGGCUCGAUGUGUGAAACUACCUGUCAUGGAAUCUUAAGACACUGAAAUGGCUGAAUUAAGAAUCUCUGAGUACUUUCAAUUGAAAGAGGUACUCUACGAUUUUGCAGUGUAUGAAGUUGACAAGUCCUACAUAUUUUGAUACAUAUAACAAGUGAGAUUUUGAGGCAAAAUAUGUUUGAGUCACAGGAGACUGGUCAAAAAGUUGCAAAAUUAUUGAAGAAGUAUAUUUUGCUCUUAUAUUUCUUUCAUGGCACGAAUUGGAGUAGGUAAUUGCAUCCUACAUGUUCUAUGUUGGAUUUCGCCUCAUGAAUCAACAAUCGACUUCCCCAUGUGUAUGGUAAAUACAUUUUGAUUAUAAUAUGUUUGCGAUUACAUAUGAAUGAAGCCGGAAGGGAAAUAAGGAAUCGAAACAAAGGGCCCAUAUAAGAGAGAUCACCAUUAGUGGUCUGGCUAAACACAAAGCCUUAAGAAUACGUAGAUUCGUCAAAUGAACUUUACAUAAGCAUCCUUAUAGGUGAAUUGAUACUCAUAAGGUUGAGAUGUAGGUAUUUUUAUGAGAAAACCAGAUAUUAAGAGAAUACAAAAAUUACCCAUUCGUCUACAUUUUCAAACAGUUGUAAGGUGUCCAUAAGUACAGAACAUGUUUGAGGAAGAACAUUGCAUUAAACUAUUAUAAAAGUUUUACAAAGUCUGCUCCACAUUUGGCCUCGACUGAAUAAGCAUAGUCUCUUCCUCUUUCUACUAAACUGUUGUUGUAGACUUCAAGUUCCUAGUGGUGUUCAUGUUUGUUACACACUUUAAUGUUCUUUGAGUUCUUUUGUUUUAAAAUUAAGUAAUGUGGCAGUUAACUACUCUCCAGAUUGAGCAUGGAUAAAACUUCUAUUGAAAACAGAAGGACAAUAAAACGAAAAGUGGGAUAACAGGUACAACCAAAAUGGAAGGGGAAGUGACAUAAAGGAGCACAUGAAACGGUAAGACAAAAAAAGGUCCUUCUAUGUGAUUUUUUGUCAAUUCGAAUUUAUGGAUACGUAAUUUAAUCUAUAUAUCAAUUUAGUCCUAAAAAAAUUAUUUUGUUUAGAAUUAACAGAUACCCAAUAUAAUGACCACAUAAUUGACACGACCAUUGUAAGUUCAAUUUGCAGAGAAAUAACAUGUGUCGUACAAGAGACCUAUGCUAAGUUAUAAGAAAACUAAAUCAAACUCCAUGAUAUAUUUUUUCUCCCGAGGAAUCAUUUUGUGGGUUACUAUUGCAGAUAAUGAAGAAUAUAACUAUAUCUCCUUUCAAUUUUUGGUACUCUUUCCAAAUUUGAUCAGAUCAUAUGUCAUGUAUGAACAAAGAUGUUACCAUCUUCCUUUAUUUUCUUUUAAGAAAGUUGCAUCAUAGUUCAGGAGGAAGUAGUUGAUAAUCAAUUGAUGUUACUGAAGAACAAAUCCGGGGAGAAAACUAUAGUGCUACUUGAUGCUAAGAUGUAUCUACGUAUAGAUUUUUCGAGUCAUUUAUGUAUAUAAAUUUGCGGCUUGUGAUGUUCCAUUAUGAUAAUAUUAUCUAUCAUAUCAUGAAAAUUCACAUGAGAUAUUAUGACCAAAAACAGAUUGUUCGAGCAUUUAAAUUAAUGAAACUCUAAGUUUUUUUGUGAUCAACUAUAGAAAGAAAGGGGCAAAAGUUUAAAAAUGUAUUAUGUGUGAACAGUUGAAGGAUAAUACAACCAUUAAUUUAGUAAUUUCAACAGUUGAAGUUGCAAAC